rnacentral:rRNA from 1 species
UAUUGUUCUUGAGAGGGUAUCGAUUAAUAUUGAAUAAUCAGACAUAGUACGCUAAGGUUGUAUGUCUAAAGGGAAACAGCCCAGAACAAGUGUAAAUAAGGUUCCAAAAUUAUUAUUAAGUGAAACAAAGGUAGUUUAUCUUUUAAACGUCCAGGAAAUUGGCUUAGAGGCGGCCAUUUUUUAAAGACCUCGUAACAGAGCACUGGUUUUAUUGUAGAUUAUAUAUAAUAUAAUUAUAUAUCGAGAUAAGCACCGACGAUUCCACGGAUCUAAAUAAUAUACCGAAACCUUGUCCAUGUUUAUUUAUAUAUUUGCUUGUGUAUAUAGCACAAAGGUGAUAUAUGUUAUAUACAUGUGAGUUAUAUAUAAUAGAAUGGGGUAGCGGAACAUUGGGCAAACCACACUUUUUUUUUAUAAAAAUUUUUAGGUACCCCAAGUGAUAAUGCUGACAUGAGUAACGAUAAAGGGAUAAAUCCCUCGCCUAAAGCUUAUGGUAUUUAGUUAAAGUAACGGCCUCUAAGUUUAUAAAUAAAAAACUAAAGUAUUUUCCCUAACUAGGGAUAAUGAUUUAAAGUAUUUUAGUUAACCUAAAGGAUUAAACGAUGAGCAAAUCUUUAGAAUAAAAAUAUAUAUAAAUAACAUUUUAAACAAUUUUUCUUCGUUAGACUUUCGUUAGACUUUCGUUAGACUUUCGUUAGAAAAGUGUAAAAGUGAAAAGUGUUCUGGAAAAUUGUAUUUUUUACCGCUUUACCUAAAACGUGUGGAUGUUACACACUCGUGGAAGAUAAACUAAAUAGAUGAACCAAUUUAAAGUGGUUACCGUACCUAGAUACUACCACAAGUAAGCAAGUAGAG